CUGGUCCGUACAGCGCUGCAGGUCUUGUUUUGCAGCGGUUACCAGAAUAGCAGUAUUUUAUUCUAUUUCACACAUAUUGGCAGCCUCAUUGUGGGUCAUCUGAAAAGUCUUUGUGAUAUUGUCUCUGCACACUAGAUACAUACAUGAACUUGUAAGUGCUCCGUAAGUGUGAGAGAGAAGGUUUGCUUUUCAGAAAUCCCAUUCUUGAUUAGACCCUUGCUGCUGAGAUUGAGAUAUGCCAACAGUUUAAAACUAUCUGGCGACGCGCUGAUGCGGCUCUAAUGAUAAGCUUCUCUUGAGAAAUAGUCACCACACUUUUCACACACAGACAAUCCACUCACACUUCCUGUUCGUGUAAAUGAGAAACCACUGUCCUCAUUACUAAGGAGACAGGAACAAGAAGAAGACGACAUUUAAUGCUGGGAAACUUUUACGUGUUACUCAUGGUGGGGGGCUGACACUUAACAUCCCCGUGAAGCAAAAUCCUGGAACGUGUUGGCCUUGCUCCAAAUCCAUGUUACGGGCAAAUCCAUGUUUUCUACGUGUUAACCAGCACCUGCCUCCCCCUGCUGGGAUGAGUAACCUACAGCAGGCAGAGCCUCAUACUAAAACUCAUGAAUUAUAUUCUUGAAACAAUAUUCAAGAAGUUUGUCAUUUUGUGUGUUUCAGUGCUGAUUUUUAAGAUGUAUACCAGACCUACAGUAAGAUUAAGAUUAGGAUUCACCCUCUGGAACUGUGAAUAUCUGUCACGUUUUCUAUCUCACCAUCGGCAUAUCUUCGAGCCUCUCAAAAUUGGAUCUCGGCGAUCGGAUACAUUUCACUGUGAGUACCACGAGAACGAGGGCGAGGACGAUACAGAAGAUGCAAAUGAUAGCGACUAGGCCGGGGUUUGACGCCAGGUCAUCUUUUUCCCAGUCGGGUGAAAAACCUGAGGGGGAGACAAACAGAGAAACGAUGAGAUAAACAAAUGCAAUAUUUGCUGGACACAGCUGAAAUUAUACUAAUAUGCAGCCUUCCAAAAACUUAUGAUCAUGAUAACAGAGCUGAUCAGAGAAGUCAGGGACCUCCGUGAGAAGUUCAGAGCCUUCCGUUAAUCCUGCAGCACUGACCCUGUUCAUGCUAGGGUAUUGCCUCUGGAUUAGCCAUUUAACAACAUAGACGAAAUGAACUGCAAUGACCGGAGGCAAAUAAAGCAAUGAUGGUCUGACUCAGCGGGUGGGGGUAAACGCUGUUUCUGAGUUUGCCUUCGCCCAAGCAGUGCAGAAAUGUCUCCGCUACCCUUCAGAAAACAUGGGUGGUGCAGGAUGCCUGAUAUCCAGUUUGAUCCCAGAGUAAACUAAAAAAAAUAAGUGACCUGUAUCCAAU
ensembl:lncRNA